GAUGAAGAACGUAGCGAAAUGCGAUAAGUAAUGUGAAUUGCAGAAUUCAGUGAAUCAUCGAAUCUUUGAACGCACCUUGCGCUCCUUGGUAUUCCGAGGAGCAUGCCUGUUUGAGUGUCAUGAAACCCUCAAACCCAAGUUUUGGAUUUCGAUCCAUGCUUGAGUUUGGAUUUGGAUGUUUGCCGGUGAUGAACCGACUCAUCUUAAAAGUAUUAGCUUGGAUCUGUCUAUAUGACUGGUUUGACUUGGCAUAAUAAGUAUUUUGCUGAGGACAUCUUCGGAUGGCCAGGACCUAGACUACUGUCUGCUAACUAAACCAUCACUUUAAGUGCAUCUUUGGAUGUUACUCAUUGUGUAACUUUGAUAUCUGGCCUCAAAUCAAGUAGGACUACCCGCUGAACUUAAGCAUAUCAAUAAGCGGAGGA
rnacentral:misc_RNA from 1 species